UACGUAGGGGGCAAGCGUUGUCCGGAUUUACUGGGCGUAAAGCGCGUGUAGGCGGCCUGACAAGUCUGCUGUGAAAACUCGAGGCUCAACCUCGAGAUGUCGGCGGAAACCGUCUGGCUAGAGUCCGGAAGAGGAGAGUGGAAUUCCUGGUGUAGCGGUGAAAUGCGCAGAUAUCAGGAAGAACACCUAUGGCGAAGGCAGCUCUCUGGGACGGUACUGACGCUGAGACGCGAAAGCGUGGGGAGCGAACAGG
rnacentral:rRNA from 1 species